AUAACCUUAUCUACGCAAGUUCCAAAAAGCAUAAGGUUGCUGAUCUUGCCUCCCAAGUUUCUAAAAAGCAAAAGGUGGCUCGCCCAAUGCACAACCUAACACCGGUAUUGGCAUUCCCCAAAAUAAGGAGGUUCGCCAAGCAUUAAGUGGUGUUUCUAUUAAUGUUCUUUACAAUGAGGAAGAUGAUGACUUAGACCGGGAAAUUGACAAUUAUACGAGCCCCAAAUCAAUGCCUUGUAUGAUUGUGGAGAGUGUAGAUCCUUUGGUUGUCAAAUAAUCUUUUAAGAUUGAGGAUUCUGGUGUGUAGUGACACUAUAAUCAGUAUGAUCUUGAUUGAGCUUUGUUUUCUAUGUACUUACGACUUUGUGAAUUUUUGCAGAUACGGCAGCUAGCAGGUUUGACUGGUAUAACUUUCUCCAAGAGUUGGAUAGAGAGGACGCCCUAUCCCUAAAAAGGCAAAAUGUUGGUGGUGGGGUUGACACUGCUGCCAUGUCAACCAAGACAACGCCAACUCCUACUCUAACAACCACUCUAAUGGUUGUUGUUACGUUAACUGUUGCAUCCCCUUAUGCCCUUACUAUGCUUAUUUCAACUAUGCUUAUUUCUCGAUCACUGUUCCUUAUGCCCUUACUACACUAGCUAUUGACACUCCUCCUUCAACUAUGCUUAUUUCUCUAUCAUUGUCCCUUGUGACUGUCUUUGUGUCGAACCAACUUGGAGGCGCUACUAAUGAUACUGCUUCCACAUAGGCCUUUUUUUUAGUUUAAGGGUCAUAAUGUCAAAAAGAAGAUAAGGAGGUUCAGAAAAAGUCAUUUUGUGAUGUCUCCAUCAGGAGUAUUCCCA
rnacentral:lncRNA from 1 species